UCACUUCUGGCUCAGGAUAAAGUGUCUGCCUGCAAUGCAGGAGACCUGGGUUCAAUCCCUGGGUUGGGAA
rnacentral:tRNA from 1 species